rnacentral:rRNA from 1 species
AACAAACGCUGGCGGCGUGCCUAACACAUGCAAGUCGUACGAGAAAGUCGGCUUCGGCCGAUGAGUACAGUGGCGCACGGGUGAGUAGCGCGUGGGUAAUCUGCCCCCGGUCAGGAAUAACCCGCCGAAAGGCGGGCUAAUACCCGAUAACACUGACGCUCCGCGGAGCGUCUUUCAAAGGAGGCCUCUGUUUACAAGCUUUCGCCGGAGGAUGAGCCCGCGUACCAUUAGCUAGUUGGCAGGGUAAUGGCCUACCAAGGCUGCGAUGGUUAGCUGGUCUGAGAGGAUGGCCAGCCACACUGGAACUGAGACACGGUCCAGACUCCUACGGGAGGCAGCAGUGAGGAAUCUUGCGCAAUGGGGGAAACCCUGACGCAGCAACGCCGCGUGAGUGAGGAAGGCCUUCGGGUCGUAAAGCUCUGUCAGAUGGGAAGAAAUGGGUGGGGGCUAAUAUCGCCCAUCCUUGACGGUACCAUCAGAGGAAGCACCGGCUAACUCCGUG